ACUGAAGCCAGCUUUCCCAAGUCCCAGACUAGUGAUGUAAUCAUUGGACAGACACACACGCCCCUUCCUCUCAUACAUGAGAACAAAGGUUUGCUUGCUUAGAUCAACUGUCAGGGUUGUGGCCUUAAGAGACUAGUUUUGUGGUUCUGUUUCUUCAGGUGGAAAAUCAAGAGGGUGAUUUUCAAACAUUUGUAUAGCAAUACAAUUUCAAACUCAAAAUCAUCAGAACUCCUGGGAAAGUCCUCCUGCCUCUCCAGUGAUGGUUCUUCUGGGGUCUACAGAAUCAAAGUGCCUCUGCCUCAUGCCGUACCAGUGUCCGAAGGAUGAGAACCAGCCUAUCAGAAUGGGAUUUGCACACAGAAGAAAUCCAACCUCUGUGCAAUGGGAGCAAUGAAACGUGCUAAAGUGAAAUCUGAAACAUUGCAUCCUGGGAAAUGUUUGACUUAACAUGUCACGGAAGAUAAUAAAGAAUAACUCGUCCUUAUUGAAGAAAUUCCGGCCUUCGCUUAUAACGAUGUUACUUUACUUAGAAAUAUUGUCUUCAGAAAUAUCAGUGAAAGCUUGUGGAGGGCCUAAUCCUGGAACCUUCACUGAAAUGACCUUACCCAUGUGCCAGUGGGAUUUCUUGUUUCUCCAUAUAGGAGCUAUUUGUCCCUGACAUACUAUGCUAAGACUCAAGGGGACUUGCCCCUGGACAACGGAGGCUCAGGACUCCAGUUCCCAGAUUGCCUGAAGUCCUGGAUGCAGAUAGAACAAGCUGGAAGCUACUACCAGAACCAAUCAGAAUCCAGAAGUCAGGGACAAAGGGUUUGGUUUUACUUUUAUUUUUGGCUGUUGCUGGAGAGCAGGGAGAGAAACAUCACAGCCUGGGGGUGGGGUGAGGGGUGUAACCCAUUAAACUGUCCAGAGAAUAACUUUGAACUCUGUCCGUGAUUGCUGGGUCAUUGACGGGUUGUUACACUCAGAUGCACCCCAAAACUGCAAUCCCAAGCUACCAAAAAAAUGAAGCAAGACACACAGGUAAAUUGUCAGUCAAAACAAGUAAUAACCAUGAACCAGUUAAGUCAGCAACAGUCUGAACAAAACAAAAUAGUCCAAAAGGUUGAUGUGUAGCAGCAAUCCCUGAGUAGCUGCACGCAUGUUUUGUUGAGCUGUCUGUGAUGAUGACUCCUGGGUCUCUGUCCUCAGAGUAUCCUGUGAACUCAGAGCCCCCAUCAGCAUA